rnacentral:rRNA from 1 species
UGGCUGGGGGUGAAAGGCCAAUCAAACCGGGAGAUAGCUGGUUCUCCCCGAAAGCUAUUUAGGUAGCGCCUCGUGAAUUCAUCUCCGGGGGUAGAGCACUGUUUCGGCAAGGGGGUCAUCCCGACUUACCAACCCGAUGCAAACUGCGAAUACCGGAGAAUGUUAUCACGGGAGACACACGGCGGGUGCUAACGUCCGUCGUGAAGAGGGAAACAACCCAGACCGCCAGCUAAGGUCCCAAAGUCAUGGUUAAGUGGGAAACGAUGUGGGAAGGCCCAGACAGCCAGGAUGUUGGCUUAGAAGCAGCCAUCAUUUAAAGAAAGCGUAAUAGCUCACUGGUCGAGUCGGCCUGCGCGGAAGAUGUAACGGGGCUAAACCAUGCACCGAAGCUGCGGCAGCGACGCUUAUGCGUUGUUGGGUAGGGGAGCGUUCUGUAAGCCUGUGAAGGUGUGCUGUGAGGCAUGCUGGAGGUAUCAGAAGUGCGAAUGCUGACAUAAGUAACGAUAAAGCGGGUGAAAAGCCCGCUCGCCGGAAGACCAAGGGUUCCUGUCCAACGUUAAUCGGGGCAGGGUGAGUCGACCCCUAAGGCGAGGCCGAAAGGCGUAGUCGAUGGGAAACAGGUUAAUAUUCCUGUACUUGGUGUUACUGCGAAGGGGGGACGGAGAAGGCUAUGUUGGCCGGGCGACGGUUGUCCCGGUUUAAGCGUGUAGGCUGGUUUUCCAGGCAAAUCCGGAAAAUCAAGGCUGAGGCGUGAUGACGAGGCACUACGGUGCUGAAGCAACAAAUGCCCUGCUUCCAGGAAAAGCCUCUAAGCAUCAGGUAACAUCAAAUCGUACCCCAAACCGACACAGGUGGUCAGGUAGAGAAUACCAAGGCGCUUGAGAGAACUCGGGUGAAGGAACUAGGCAAAAUGGUGCCGUAACUUCGGGAGAAGGCACGCUGAUAUGUAGGUGAAGUCCCUCGCGGAUGGAGCUGAAAUCAGUCGAAGAUACCAGCUGGCUGCAACUGUUUAUUAAAAACACAGCACUGUGCAAACACGAAAGUGGACGUAUACGGUGUGACGCCUGCCCGGUGCCGGAAGGUUAAUUGAUGGGGUCAGCGCAAGCGAAGCUCUUGAUCGAAGCCCCGGUAAACGGCGGCCGUAACUAUAACGGUCCUAAGGUAGCGAAAUUCCUUGUCGGGUAAGUUCCGACCUGCACGAAUGGCGUAAUGAUGGCCAGGCUGUCUCCACCCGAGACUCAGUGAAAUUGAACUCGCUGUGAAGAUGCAGUGUACCCGCGGCAAGACGGAAAGACCCCGUGAACCUUUACUAUAGCUUGACACUGAACAUUGAGCCUUGAUG